GACGAACGCUGGCGGCGUGCCUAAUACAUGCAAGUAGAACGCUGAAGGAGGAGCUUGCUUCUCUGGAUGAGUUGCGAACGGGUGAGUAACGCGUAGGUAACCUGCCUGGUAGCGGGGGAUAACUAUUGGAAACGAUAGCUAAUACCGCAUAAGAUUAGAUGUUGCAUGACAUUUGCUUAAAAGGUGCAAUUUCAUCACUACCAGAUGGACCUGCGUUGUAUUAUCUAGUUGGUGGGGUAACGGCUCACCAAGGCGACGAUACAUAGCCGACCUGAGAGGGUGAUCGGCCACACUGGGACUGAGACACGGCCCAGACUCCUACGGGAGGCAGCAGUAGGGAAUCUUCGGCAAUGGACGGAAGUCUGACCGAGCAACGCCGCGUGAGUGAAGAAGGUUUUCGGAUCGUAAAGCUCUGUUGUAAGAGAAGAACGAGUGUGAGAGUGGAAAGUUCACACUGUGACGGUAUCUAACCAGAAAGGGACGGCUAACUACGUG
rnacentral:rRNA from 1 species